GACGAACUGCCCAAACGUUGUUCGGAAUCACUGGGCUUAAAGGGCGCGUAGGCGGCAGAUCAAGUCAGGGGUGAAAUCCGGCAGCUCAACUGUCGAAGUGCCUUGAUACUGAUUUGCUCGAGGGAGAUAGGGGUCUGUGGAACUUCUGGUGGAGCGGUGAAAUGCGUUGAUAUCAGAAGGAACGCCGGUGGCGAAAGCGACGGACUGGAUCUCUUCUGACGCUGAGGCGCGAAAGCUAGGGGAGCAAACGGG
rnacentral:rRNA from 1 species